rnacentral:rRNA from 1 species
UACGAAGGGGGCGAGCGUUGUUCGGAAUAGCUGGGCGUAAAGGGCGCGUAGGCGGCCCUCUUUGUCGCGUGUGGAAAGCCCCGGGCUACAACCUGGGAACGGCGCGCGAAACGGGGGGGCUGGAUUCGGGAGGAGGAGCGUGGAAGUUCCUGGUGUAGCGGUGAAAUGACGCAGAUAUCAGGAGGAACACCGAUGGCGAAGGCAGCUCGCUGGGACGUUACUGACGCUGAGACGACGAAAGCGUGGGGAGCAAACAGGG